rnacentral:rRNA from 1 species
CCUACGGGAGGCUGCAGUAGGGAAUCUUUCACAAUGGGCGAAAGCCUGAUGGAGCAACGCCGCGUGCAGGAUGAAGGCCUUCGGGUUGUAAACUGCUUUUAUAAGCGAGAAAUAUGAUGGUAACUUAUGAAUAAGGAUCGGCUAACUACGUGCCAGCAGCCGCGGUCAUACGUAGGAUCCGAGCAUUAUCCGGAGUGACUGAGUGUAAAGAGUUGCGUAGGUGACAUAAUAAUUAGCUAGUGAAAUCGGGUGGCUCAACCAUUCAGACUAUUAGCUAAACUGUUAAGCUCGAGACCGUUAGGGGUAACUGGAAUUUCUAGUGUAGGAGUGAAAUCCGUAGAUAUUAGAAGGAACACCAAUAGCGUAGGCAGGUUACUGGGACGGUUCUGACACUAAGGCACGAAAGCGUAGGGAGCAAACGGGAUUAGAUACCCUUGUAGUC